rfam:Felis catus breed Abyssinian Contig79322.1, whole genome shotgun sequence. [26-MAY-2016]
GCACUCCCUUCAGCAGCACAUAUAGUAACACUAGAACAAUACAGAGAAGAUUAGCUUGACCCUGUGCAAGGAUGGAGUGCAAAUUUGUGAAGCAUCCCAUGUUUUC